rnacentral:rRNA from 1 species
GCGGCGUGCCUAUACAUGCAAGUAGAACGCUGAAGGAGGAGCUUGCUCUUCUGGAAGAGUUGCGAACGGGUGAGUAACGCGUAGGUAACCUGCCUGGUAGCGGGGGAUAACUAUUGGAAGCGAUAGCUAAUACCGCAUAAGAUUGAAUAUCGCAUGAUAAUUGAUUAAAAGAUGCAAAUGCAUCACUACCAGAUGGACCUGCGUUGUAUUAGCUAGUAGGUGAGGUAACGGCUCACCUAGGCGACGAUACAUAGCCGACCUGAGAGGGUGAUCGGCCACACUGGGACUGAGACACGGCCCAGACUCCUACGGGAGGCAGCAGUAGGGAAUCUUCGGCAAUGGGGGCAACCCUGACCGAGCAACGCCGCGUGAGUGAAGAAGGUUUUCGGAUCGUAAAGCUCUGUUGUAAGAGAAGAACGAGUGUGAGAGUGGAAAGUUCACACUGUGACGGUAUCUUACCAGAAAGGGACGGCUAACUACGUGCCAGCAGCCGCGGUAAUACGUAGGUCCCGAGCGUUGUCCGGAUUUAUUGGGCGUAAAGCGAGCGCAGGCGGUUAGAUAAGUCUGAAGUUAAAGGCUGUGGCUUAACCAUAGUACGCUUUGGAAACUGUUUAACUUGAGUGCAGAAGGGGAGAGUGGAAUUCCAUGUGUAGCGGUGAAAUGCGUAGAUAUAUGGAGGAACACCGGUGGCGAAAGCGGCUCUCUGGUCUGUAACUGACGCUGAGGCUCGAAAGCGUGGGGAGCGAACAGGAUUAGGUACCCUGGUAGUCCACGCCGUAAACGAUGAGUGCUAGGUGUUAGGCCCUUUCC